AUUGAACGCUGGCGGCAGGCCUAACACAUGCAAGUCGAGCGAGCGGCGGACGGGUGAGUAAUGCCUAGGCAUCUGCCUGGUAGUUGGGGAUAACGUCCGGAAACGGGCGCUAAUACCGCAUCCCAUCAGAUGAACCCAUAUGGGAUUAGCUUGUAGGUAAGGUAACGGCUUACCUAGGCGACGAUCCCUAGCUGGUCUGAGAGGAGGAUCAGCCACACUGGUACUGAGACACGGCCCAGACGCCUACGGGAGGAAGCAGAGGGGAAUAUUGCACAAGGGGCGCAAGCCUGAUGCAGCCAUGCCGCGUGUAUGAAGAAGGCCUUCGGGUUGUAAAGUACUUGCAGUCGGGAGGCGUUACCGACAGAAGAAGCACCGGCUAACUCCGUGCCAGCAGCCGCGGUAAUAC
rnacentral:rRNA from 1 species